rnacentral:rRNA from 1 species
AACGUAGGAACCGAGCGUUAUCCGAAUUUACUGGGCGUAAAGCGCGUGCAGGCGGUUUGGUAAGUUAGAUGUGAAAGCUCCUGGCCUAACUAGGAGAGGACGUUUAAAACUGCCAGGCUAGAGGACGGUAGAGGGGGGUGGAAUUCCCGGUGUAGUGGUGAAAUGCGUAGAUAUCGGGAGGAACACCUGUGGCGAAGGCGGCCCCCUGGGCCGUACCUGACGCUGAUACGCGAAAGCUAGGGGAGCAAACGGG